UCUUCAUCUUGUUCUCAAAGCCUACCCCUGCCCUGUUUUCUUUUGGAUUCAUUUGCAGGUCGUCGCGCUACUGGGAUUGCCGCGUCGGGUGACCGCGGCUAUUUUCGUCGGCGGCUGUUUUCGUCGGCCUGCUGUUCGGUUCCAACCUUGAUUAUUUGCUAUUGUGGGUUGUUGCUGGAGUGUCCGUGACGUUCUGCUUGGACUCCUUGUUUGUCAGAUUGACUGCUGCUGCGAGGUGUUGCUGAGACUGAGCUGCUGCUGGUACUUCCUUGUUUGCCAGGAAGUGGCAGCGCGUGGUGGUGGUCCACCGGGAGCAGCAGUUGUGGUCCAUCUUUUCCUCACAGGCUUAGGUGCACUCUCUUUUCUAUCUGCAUCUCUCUCUAUCUCCCGUUCAAGAACCUCCUGUGAAGGGAGAUCUCCUGGAGGCUGAGGGCACCCAAUAGUCGUGAAACAGAGAAUGGUGUCCCUGAAACAACACUGACUCGGUGUCGUGUGGCUGCCCACUAGCGGCAAGGGCGCACCCAUCGACUAAAAUUGAGGGCACCACCCUUGGCAGUCCGAUCUUUACGAGCUUACAUGCGCGUUGGCCUCCGAUGCUUAUGGUUGCAACUGAUCAUGAGCAAUCUUCUCACCACAUCAAUGCCUAUGUCACUGGUUUCGAUCAUUUCAUAGGUUCCAUGUUGCAUGAGUCGAGGAUCGGAUACCAUAGUUGUGUUGUCCACAGCUCCCGAAGAUGAGCCAACACAUUGGCACCGGGUUCUGAUUUCUGAAGACUGCCCUUUUACUUAGUGAAACACUUCACUUCUUUAUUUCCUUGUGCCCUAUUUUAUGUAAUAUGCACUUGUUUUUUGCAGAUUAUUUUCUACCCUAUGAUCCUACAGAAGUGACACAUGGUCAAAUUAUUGAAGGCUCUGAUGAUCUCCCCGAGGGAGGAGAAUCCAUGUCUGAAUAUUCACUUGGAGUGCUUAGGUCAAACCUUGGUGAGGGAUUUUAUGAUGUGGUGAACUUGUGUGAUUCGCCAAUAUCAAUCGCACCAUUUGCAAGAGUCUCUUUCAGAAACUGCGACUCAAAGUCACUUGUCAUUGAUGUUGAAUUUCUUGUGUAUCCAUUUAGUCAGUAGUAGAACAACGACAGCUCAAAAAAGUAAAAGAGCAACAACAUCGAAGAUGCCUCCAUUUUUUCUCUUAUUUUUUGGCUGUUUUUACUGGAGAUGGAAGACCUGUAGGAUUUUGCAUCGGAGCGUGAUUAAGAUUACAUUGCAGAAAUUCAGUUUGCCAAGUGUUUUUUGUUUACCUUUGUACUGCUAUGUUUUGUGACCUAUAGAUAUGGUCAAUCCGGAGUUCCUCCGCUGUAUUCAAGAGUAGUUAGGACGACUUGGGGAAGAUGUUCUUAUUAUUUUCUUGAAACUGCGUUAAGCUGUUCUUAUUA